UACGUAGGGUGCAAGCGUUACUCGGAAUUACUGGGCGUAAAGCGUGCGCAGGCGGUUAUGUAAGGCAGAUGUGAAAUGCCCGGGCUUAACCUGGGAACUGCAUUUGUGACUGCAUGGCUAGAGUUUGGCAGAGGGGGGUAGAAUUCCACGUGUAGCAGUGAAAUGCGUAGAUAUGUGGAGGAACACCGAUGGCGAAGGCAGCCCCCUGGGUCAAGACUGACGCUCAUGCACGAAAGCGUGGGGAGCAAACAGG
rnacentral:rRNA from 1 species